GGGUUGUGAGGUUAAGCGACUAAGCGUACACGGUGGAUGCCCUGGCAGUCAGAGGCGAUGAAGGGCGUGCUAAUCUGCGAUAAGCGCCGGUAAGGUGAUAUGAACCGUUAUAACCGGCGAUACCCGAAUGGGGAAACCCAGUGUGAUUCGUCACACUAUCAUUAACUGAAUCCAUAGGUUAAUGAGGCGAACCGGGGGAACUGAAACAUCUAAGUACCCCGAGGAAAAGAAAUCAACCGAGAUUCCCCCAGUAGCGGCGAGCGAACGGGGAGGAGCCCAGAGCCUGAAUCAGCAUGUGUGUUAGUGGAAGCGUCUGGAAAGGCGCGCGAUACAGGGUGACAGCCCCGUACACAAAAGCGCAUGUGCUGUGAGCUCGAUGAGUAGGGCGGGACACGUGGUAUCCUGUCUGAAUAUGGGGGGACCAUCCUCCAAGGCUAAAUACUCCUGACUGACCGAUAGUGAACCAGUACCGUGAGGGAAAGGCGAAAAGAACCCCGGCGAGGGGAGUGAAAAAGAACCUGAAACCGUGUACGUACAAGCAGUGGGAGCACAGGUUUACCUGUGUGACUGCGUACCUUUUGUAUAAUGGGUCAGCGACUUAUAUUCUGUAGCAAGGUUAACCGUAUAGGGGAGCCGUAGGGAAACCGAGUCUUAACCGGGCGUUAAGUUGCAGGGUAUAGACCCGAAACCCGGUGAUCUAGCCAUGGGCAGGUUGAAGGUUGGGUAACACUAACUGGAGGACCGAACCGACUAAUGUUGAAAAAUUAGCGGAUGACCUGUGGCUGGGGGUGAAAGGCCAAUCAAACCGGGAGAUAGCUGGUUCUCCCCGAAAGCUAUUUAGGUAGCGCCUCGUGAAUUCAUCUCCGGGGGUAGAGCACUGUUUCGGCUAGGGGGCCAUCCCGGCUUACCAACCCGAUGCAAACUGCGAAUACCGGAGAAUGUUAUCACGGGAGACACACGGCGGGUGCUAACGUCCGUCGUGAAGAGGGAAACAACCCAGACCGCCAGCUAAGGUCCCAAAGUCAUGGUUAAGUGGGAAACGAUGUGGGAAGGCACAGACAGCCAGGAUGUUGGCUUAGAAGCAGCCAUCAUUUAAAGAAAGCGUAAUAGCUCACUGGUCGAGUCGGCCUGCGCGGAAGAUGUAACGGGGCUAAACCAUGCACCGAAGCUGCGGCAGCGAC
rnacentral:rRNA from 1 species